UUUUGUCCAUCUUCUUCAUUAGGCCGAAAUUUCAAGGGUUCUCCAUAGCUAGGGUUUGUUUCAAGCUUCCAAGCUCCAUAAUCAAGAAAGACGUGGAAUCGACCUCAAUCGAGGAAAAGAAAAGAUUGUGGACUAAAUUGCAAAAUCUUUGUAUUUUGGUACCAAGUUUUGGACAAGCCAGCUCAGGAGUCGGGAUAGGUCGAAGGCUCAGUCACACUAUCCAGAAGACUUUUGGUAAAUGGCCUGUAAAUUUAAGUAUGGCAUGUAUAGCAAUAUACCUUUUUGUGUAAAUGAUCUUAUGGUAUGGUGAUGGAAUGGUUGAGGAAAUGCUUGAUAAUGAUAAAUUAUGAAAAUAGUUAGUUUAGAUUAUAUUUGAUGUUAAGGAAAAUUAAUAAGAUACUUAGUGCAUAAAAACUCAUAAAAA